UACAGAGGGUGCGAGCGUUAAUCGGAUUUACUGGGCGUAAAGGGCGUGUAGGCGGUUAUAUGAGUCAUGUGUGAAAGUCCUGGGCUUAACCGAGGGAUUGCAUAUGAUACUGUAUGACUAGAGUGGAGUAGAGGGUAGUAGAAUUUCCAGUGUAGCGGUGAAAUGCGUAGAUAUUGGAAGGAAUACCGGUGGCGAAGGCGGCUACCUGGACUCACACUGACGCUGAGGCGCGAAAGCCAGGGGAGCGAACGGG
rnacentral:rRNA from 1 species